CUACGGGGGGCAGCAGUGAGGAAUAUUGCACAAUGGGGGGAACCCUGAUGCAGCAACGCCGCGUGGAGGAUGACGCAUUUCGGUGUGUAAACUCCUUUUAUAUGUCAAGAAAAUGACGGUAGCAUAUGAAUAAGCACCGGCUAAUUCCGUGCCAGCAGCCGCGGUAAUACGGAGGGUGCAAGCGUUAUUCGGAAUCAUUGGGCGUAAAGGACGCGUAGGCGGGUUGGAAAGUCAGGUGUGAAAUCCUACAGUUUAACUGUAGAACUGCACUUGAAACUUCUAAUCUAGAGUAUGGGAGGGGGAGAUGGAAUUAGUGGUGUAGGGGUAAAAUCCGUAGAUAUCACUAGGAAUACCUAAAGCGAAGGCGAUCUCCUGGAACAUUACUGACGCUAAGGCGUGAAAGCGUGGGGAGCAAACAGGAUUAGAUACCCGCGUAGUC
rnacentral:rRNA from 1 species